rfam:Ciona savignyi cont_31888, whole genome shotgun sequence.
ACUGGGUUGGCCGAGUGGUUAAGGCGUUGGACUUAAGAUCCAAUGGACAAGUGUCCGCGUGGGUUCGAACCCCACACCCAGUA